CGGAUGACUUGUGGCUGGGGGUGAAAGGCCAAUCAAACCGGGAGAUAGCUGGUUCUCCCCGAAAGCUAUUUAGGUAGCGCCUCGUGAACUCAUCUUCGGGGGUAGAGCACUGUUUCGGCUAGGGGGUCAUCCCGACUUACCAAACCGAUGCAAACUCCGAAUACCGAAGAAUGUUAUCACGGGAGACACACGGCGGGUGCUAACGUCCGUCGUGAAGAGGGAAACAACCCAGACCGCCAGCUAAGGUCCCAAAGUCAUGGUUAAGUGGGAAACGAUGUGGGAAGGCACAGACAGCCAGGAUGUUGGCUUAGAAGCAGCCAUCAUUUAAAGAAAGCGUAAUAGCUCACUGGUCGAGUCGGCCUGCGCGGAAGAUGUAACGGGGCUAAACCAUGCACCGAAGCUGCGGCAGCGAACGUAUCACUUAAAACGCUUAACGUGACGGCAAAGCCGGCAUGUUCAAGCCACACUAAACGUUGAGUUGGCCGAUGUGCUGACAAACGAACAGGCGUUUUAAGGAUACGUUCGUUGGGUAGGGGAGCGUUCUGUAAGCCGUUGAAGGUGGCCUGUGAGGGUUGCUGGAGGUAUCAGAAGUGCGAAUGCUGACAUAAGUAACGAUAAUGCGGGUGAAAAACCCGCACGCCGGAAGACCAAGGGUUCCUGUCCAACGUUAAUCGGGGCAGGGUGAGUCGACCCCUAAGGCGAGGCUGAAAAGCGUAGUCGAUGGGAAACAGGUUAAUAUUCCUGUACUUGGUGUUACUGCGAAGGGGGGACGGAGAAGGCUAGGCUAGCCGGGCGACGGUUGUCCCGGUUUAAGCAUGUAGGCGGAGUGACCAGGUAAAUCCGGUUGCUUAUCAACGCUGAGGUGUGAUGACGAGUCACUACGGUGAUGAAGUAGUUGAUGCCAUGCUUCCAGGAAAAGCCUCUAAGCAUCAGGUAACAUGAAAUCGUACCCCAAACCGACACAGGUGGUCAGGUAGAGAAUACUCAGGCGCUUGAGAGAACUCGGGUGAAGGAACUAGGCAAAAUGGUGCCGUAACUUCGGGAGAAGGCACGCUGGCAUUAGGUAAAGGGACUUGCUCCCGGUGCCGAAGCCAGUCGCAGAUACCAGCUGGCUGCAACUGUUUAAUAAAAACACAGCACUGUGCAAACACGAAAGUGGACGUAUACGGUGUGACGCCUGCCCGGUGCUGGAAGGUUAAUUGAUGGGGUCAGCCGCAAGGCGAAGCUCUUGAUCGAAGCCCCAGUAAACGGCGGCCGUAACUAUAACGGUCCUAAGGUAGCGAAAUUCCUUGUCGGGUAAGUUCCGACCUGCACGAAUGGCGUAAUGAUGGCCAGGCUGUCUCCACCCGAGACUCAGUGAAAUUGAACUCGCUGUGAAGAUGCAGUGUACCCGCGGCAAGACGGAAAGACCCCGUGAACCUUUACUAUAGCUUGACACUGAACAUUGAGCCUUGAUGUGUAGGAUAGGUGGGAGGCAUAGAAGUGUGGACGCCAGUCUGCAUGGAGCCAACCUUGAAAUACCACCCUUUAAUGUUUGAUGUUCUAACUCGGCCCCGUGAUCCGGGGUGAGGACAGUGUCUGGUGGGUAGUUUGACUGGGGCGGUCUCCUCCCAAAGAGUAACGGAGGAGCACGAAGGUUAGCUAAUCACGGUCGGACAUCGUGAGGUUAGUGCAAAGGCAUAAGCUAGCUUGACUGCGAGAGUGACGGCUCGAGCAGGUACGAAAGUAGGUCUUAGUGAUCCGGUGGUUCUGAAUGGAAGGGCCAUCGCUCAACGGAUAAAAGGUACUCCGGGGAUAACAGGCUGAUACCGCCCAAGAGUUCAUAUCGACGGCGGUGUUUGGCACCUCGAUGUCGGCUCAUCACAUCCUGGGGCUGAAGUAGGUCCCAAGGGUAUGGCUGUUCGCCAUUUAAAGUGGUACGCGAGCUGGGUUUAGAACGUCGUGAGACAGUUCGGUCCCUAUCUGCCGUGGGCG
rnacentral:rRNA from 1 species